UACGAAGGGGGCUAGCGUUGCUCGGAAUCACUGGGCGUAAAGCGCGCGUAGGCGGAUUGUUAAGUCAGGGGUGAAAUCCUGGAGCUCAACUCCAGAACUGCCUUUGAUACUGGCGAUCUUGAGUCCGGGAGAGGUGAGUGGAACUCCGAGUGUAGAGGUGAAAUUCGUAGAUAUUCGCAAGAACACCAGUGGCGAAGGCGGCUCACUGGCCCGGUACUGACGCUGAGGUGCGAAAGCGUGGGGAGCAAACAGG
rnacentral:rRNA from 1 species